rnacentral:rRNA from 1 species
AACGAACGCUGGCGGCAUGCCUAACACAUGCAAGUCGAACGAACCCUUCGGGGUUAGUGGCGCACGGGUGCGUAACGCGUGGGAAUCUGCCCUUUGCUUCGGAAUAACAGUUAGAAAUGACUGCUAAUACCGGAUGAUGUCUUCGGACCAAAGAUUUAUCGGCAAAGGAUGAGCCCGCGUAGGAUUAGGUAGUUGGUGGGGUAAAGGCCUACCAAGCCGACGAUCCUUAGCUGGUCUGAGAGGAUGAUCAGCCACACUGGGACUGAGACACGGCCCAGACUCCUACGGGAGGCAGCAGUGGGGAAUAUUGGACAAUGGGCGAAAGCCUGAUCCAGCAAUGCCGCGUGAGUGAUGAAGGCCUUAGGGUUGUAAAGCUCUUUUACCCGGGAUGAUAAUGACAGUACCGGGAGAAUAAGCUCCGGCUAACUCCGUG